rnacentral:rRNA from 1 species
CAGUAGCCGCGGGAAUACGUAGGGUGCAAGCGUUAAUCGGAAUUACUGGGCGUAAAGCGUGCGCAGGCGGUUAUAUAAGACAGAUGUGAAAUCCCCGGGCUCAACCUGGGAACUGCAUUUGUGACUGUAUAGCUAGAGUACGGCAGAGGGGGAUGGAAUUCCGCGUGUAGCAGUGAAAUGCGUAGAUAUGCGGAGGAACACCGAUGGCGAAGGCAAUCCCCUGGGCCUGUACUGACGCUCAUGCACGAAAGCGUGGGGAGCAAACAGGAUUAGAGACCCCCGUAGUCCCUGUCUCUUAUAC